CCACUGAUUUCAUCCAUCCCCACCAAGUCCCCAGGUCUCUCAGAUCUACAGGCAAAGCCCACUUCCAGGUAACUCGGUCACGGCUCAAACAAAAAGGUGACAGAGCCUUCGCAGUUGCAGUGCCACGGCUGCGGAACCAAUUGCCCCUGGACAUUAAAAAUGCUCCCUCCAUCUUUGCUUUUAAGUCAAGGCUCAAAACCCACCUUUAUUCUUUGGCUUUCCAAGCUUCCUAACCCUCCUUCUGUUGCCAUAUCUGUAACUCUUCAUGUCUCCUACUGUUGUUGCUGUCAUGUUGCUGUUGAUCUGUGUCUGUCUGCUGUUGUAGGUCUCACACUGUAUUUAUUUGUUUACCUUUUUCAUUUAUUUUAUUUUUAUGUAAUUUGUUUUGUUUUGUCAGUGAAAGCUGUGUUUAAAUUAAAAUUUAAUUUAUAAAUAAAUCUUACCUACUUACUAUAAUAAUCUCAUGUCAUUGCUUUGUUUCUGAUUACCAAGUCAUUUUGUGACGCUGAGUAAGGAGCACUGAUUUGAAAUAAUCAACCCAGCAGGUACUACAACCAGCCAGGGUACUAAAAAUAAAAAAAAUAAAAAUAACAUGUGACAUAACUGCAAAAUAAACACAGCUGAAACACCUACACAUGCACAUAGAUGCACUUCCAUGUGUCAUCAGAAGCUACGCAUAUCACAUUGAUCAUGAUAGCAACAAAGAGAACACAAAAUUACAUAAUAGAGAACACAGCUAACUAGAGAAAUU